rnacentral:pre_miRNA from 1 species
UUUGAGGGGAAUGUUGUCUGGCUCGGGGUUCUCUUUAUUUCUAUGCCUCUCUCUAUCCCCCCCUCCUCAAUCUCUCUAGCUUUGAUUGGAUCGAGAGAAGAUCGAUCGAUCGAUCCAAGAAGAGUUCUGAGAAGGGGGAUGAAGAGAGUAGACGUAUGUGUGUAGAUCUCGGACCAGGCUUCAUUCCCCCCAAA